GUAAUUCUAGAGCUAAUACAUGCCACUAUGCCCUGACCCGCAAGGGAACGGGUGGAUUUAUUAGAACAGAACCAACCGGUUGUGGCUUCGGCUGCUUCCGUUGCACUCUGUGAUGACUCUGGAUAACUUCACUGAUCGCAGUCGGCCUUGUGUCGGCGACGGAUCUUUCAAAUGUCUGCCCUAUCAAUUUUCGAUGGUAGGUGACCUGCCUACCAUGGUGAUAACGGGUAACGGGGAAUCAGGGUUCGAUUCCGGAGAGGGAGCCUGAGAAACGGCUACCACUUCCAAGGAAGGCAGCAGGCACGCAAACUACCCAAUCCCGGCACGGGGAGGUGGUGACGAAAAAUACGGAUACGGGACUCGUAUGAGGCUCCGUAAUUCGAAUGAGUACAAUUUAAAUCCUUUAACGAGGAUCAACUGGAGGGCAAGUCUGGUGCCAGCAGCCGCGGUAACUCCAGCUCCAGAAGCGUAUAUUAAAGUUGUUGCAGUUAAAAAGCUCGUAGUUGGAUCUGGGUCGUAUGGCUACGUGCCGUUGCUCGCAUUCUCGGCUUGGUUUCGACUAGGUCAAGUUUGUGGGUCGGUGUCGUGGCUGUGCAGCCUUUCUGCCGUGUCUGUUUCGACAGGUGCUGACUUAAUCGAUGGGCUUGUCUCGUUGGUUGGUUGGCAUGCUUCCAGAUGCCUUUAAACGGGUGUCGGGGGCGGAC
rnacentral:rRNA from 1 species